UACGGAGGGUGCAAGCGUUAUCCGGAAUCAUUGGGUUUAAAGGGUCCGCAGGCGGGCGUAUAAGUCAGUGGUGAAAUCCUGCAGCUUAACUGCAGAACUGCCAUUGAUACUGUACGUCUUGAAUUCGGUCGAAGUGGGCGGAAUGUGUAGUGUAGCGGUGAAAUGCAUAGAUAUUACACAGAACACCGAUAGCGAAGGCAGCUCACUAGGCCUGGAUUGACGCUCAGGGACGAAAGCGUGGGGAUCAAACAGGAUUAGAUACCCUGGUAGUCCACGCUGUAAACGAUGAUUACUCGUUUUCGGCGAUAUACUGUCGGAGACUAAGCGAAAGUGAUAAGUAAUCCACCUGGGGAGUACGAUCGCAAGGUUG
rnacentral:rRNA from 1 species